GCCCGGAGCGUUGCGGUGCACAAGCCCCAGCGUCCUUCCCUUCAGCUGGACGUUAAACAGCCAUGUAAACAAACGCGCCACACAAGCGGUAGCUCCUCAGAUAUAAACCUUGCAGCAACCCCUCCCCUGCUUUUCAUCUAUUGACAUUGGCUGGUGUGUAGCUGCUGGAACAAUGUGUACAGUGGGGGUGUUGAUAGCUAUUGUAUUGAACAAAACUCUAAACCCGCUAUAUGAUGGAAACUACUUCAAAUCAGGAGGUCCUGCUUCACCCCGAGCACCUCUAAUUCCAGCAUCUAUGGGCUGGUGUAUUUGCAACAGCAGACUUGGUUUACCUUAGCCUAUCUGCAAGCGUUUUGCUCUGAGUCUGAAGUAAAAGAUGUCUCCACAGGUGAACAACAAGAGGUGAAGGAGGAAGGACUGAAGGGUGACCAGGACAACCAGAGCGACCAUGGGGAGGCUCCUGCUGUCCCAGUGGUGCAUGAGGAAGGAUACCAGUAGUGUGCCAUGUGAAAAGGAGGACUGGGAAUGGGUCACUAACCCCCCUCCUCCGGGUUUGCUUUGCUUUAAUUGCCGCACUAAGGAAACACAGCUUUUGCAAAACACGUGCAGUGGCCAAUAAACAAAUCUGUCUAGAAGUAAAGGUGGCACUGUGGUUAGGAUAUGAGCACACAGCGGAAUGUAAGAAGGUCCAAAUAAAAUCAUACACUGAUGCUCAUAACAACAGGGAGGCUAGUAACAUUACAAUUUUGAUAACAGCUGACUGCCCUGUUAUCCACUGGUGUCAGGUACCAGAGAUGGAGUUUCAUGGAGGCAUUUGGAAGGAAUCAUGGAAGUGUAUGAGCUACCCCUUUGAGCAGACAAUGUUGUGGCCCUCUUAGAGUGACAGUGUCUAUACUUAAUGCAAUCAGUGUCCAAAUUACCUUUAAAAGGGGACAGCUGCAUACUACUAGUGAAGGGGACUACAAAGUCUUGAGCAAUUGAUUGAUAGGCUUAUUAAAUGAUGGUUCUGCAUUUGAAUUCUGUUGAUUGAUAGCUGUAAAGUACCUUUCCCUGGUCCCUCCCUGAAAUCAUGUCCAUUUUAACUUCUCCAACUUUAUGCCAAGUGAAGUCACAUUUCUGUUAAGUUUAGUGUAUUUCAAUUUGGGCUGCCAAAACAUAAGACAGAGGCACCUUCAAAAACUUAUGAGUCUGCCUAGGGGAGCUGGGUUUAGAUUUCAUCUGUUGAAUUUGCUAGAACGGUGCUUUUACUACAAUUCAGUCUACUUUGAAAAAGGGGUUUGCCAUACUCCAUCUUCCUGUUUUUCUUUUCAUCACAGAGGAGUUAACACCAUAUUACCUGUUAACUAUUUUAAGACAAAUUUUGGAACAAUCACAACACACAUGGAAAAAAAAAGCCUUUUCCUUUGUAUUGUCUUCCAAGUCACAGAAUAUUUUAAUGGUGUGUAGUCCAGUAGCCAGAAAUAAAGGGCAGAUUCUGAACUCAAUUACACUGGUGUAAACCCAGGACAACUUGCUGGGUUCAAUGGAAUUUCUCCAGAUUUAUACCAAUGUACCUAAAAUAAGAAUCUGAUCCUUAGUAUCUAAAUCUCACCCCAUUUUCUCUGUUAG